UCAAAGGAAUUGACGGGGACCCGCACAAGCGGUGGAUGAUGUGGAUUAAUUCGAUGCAACGCGAAAAACCUUACCUACCCUUGACAUGUACGGAAGGCCGAAGAGAUUUGGCUGUGCUCGAAAGAGAGCCGUAACACAGGUGCUGCAUGGCUGUCGUCAGCUCGUGUCGUGAGAUGUUGGGUUAAGUCCCGCAACGAGCGCAACCCUUGUCAUUAGUUGCUACGAAAGAGCACUCUAAU
rnacentral:rRNA from 1 species